UCUUAUGGAUGAGCAAAGAAAGUGGUUUCUUGAGAUUGAAUCUAUCCUGGUAAAGAUACUGUGAA
rnacentral:pre_miRNA from 1 species